CUUGAGUAGAGCAUGUCUGGUCUUGGGUGCUGGGAGAUGGGAAAAGAGUGAUUAUUUCCCCUUAAUUUCCACAGUGGGAAGACUUGGCAAGAUAGCUCUGGAAGAUAGCUCCAGCUCAGGAAGAAGACCCUGCAGCCCAUUUCCUUUCAAAAGGCAGAGAUGAACAUUUUCCCUGGCCGUCUUGAAAUACACCAAUAUGUUUGGAAAUAAAGAGACUUGGCUUCCUGGUCCUGCUCUAAGAUGGGAGCUUAAACCUAUGGAAUGUGACACCACUUUGGGCAAAAACAGAAUUCUUAGCAAAGAAAUCAUUGAUGUUAAGGUAAAUUUAUUAAAUGUGAGUGAGUUCAUCUACUUCUCAGAUAAUUAAGACAUUACUUAUGGUGAACAAGCUUAUUUAUUAGCAUGUGUUUCCUUUAUGAUAUUGCAUUAUGAAUAUAUUAUAAUUGAACAUGCAUGGCUGAACUGUUUUUGGCACAAU
rnacentral:lncRNA from 1 species